GAAACAGCACCUGAUCCUAUUCAGGCAACUCUUCUCCCUCCUUUUAAUUCCAGUACUUUGAUGAGUGGGUUCAUCCCAACCCUGGUCUCAGCGGAGGGCACUGACCCAGGCCUGACGAAUCAAUCAUUCCAUGCCUCUUGGCUACCGUGAUUGGCACAGUACUCAGAGAUGGCACGUGUUCCAAGCCAGACCAGUGAGAGGCAACCACAGGAUGUUUGUGGGAACUCUGGUCCACAGAAUCUCUCUCAAGGGGGUUGGCACCUGGGAGGGUGGGAUGCCAUCUGGAACUGCUGGUGGUCAUUUACCAUGAUGGUGAGAGCUGACUGGUGGUGGCCAACUCUUGAUGAGUAUGUUUGAGCACCUGGAUCCGGCCAUGGCUGAAUCCACCUCGAAACUCCCACUUACAAGAAUCAACAAAUGGCCUUUCUUGGGUCCAUGUGUUGGAGUAGAUUACUGGUCACUUGCAGCUGAAAGCAUGCUGGUGCUAAGGAAUGUGAAUACUCUAAACAAAGUCCCCUGCCCCUUGGUUCCUGCUCACCCUACAGGGAUUUUUGGGGAGCUGAAUAUCCAGUCCAAAGUCAGAGGAAGGACAUAUGCUCAAGGGGCACUCAGUUUCCAAGUCUCAGGGAGCCAGCACCUGAGUCUCAGUCUUGCUUUCAGACAAGAUGUCGUCCUGAGAAUCUUUCUCCCUCAUCAGUGCAGUUGCCGACCUUUGAGCCUGACUCGUCAGGGUCCAUUCUCUCUACACAUUUAUCCAACCAUCACAUGUUUGCUGAGCAUCUACUUUCUUUCAGGCACGGGCUGGGCACAGAACUUGCAGGGAUGAUGAUGUUUCCAGGUCAGCCCGGAAAAGCCAGUGCAGCCAGUCAGACGUUUCUAGAAUGGUAGACUGCCAGGUAUGGAAACAUUCUUUAUACUUAUUCACUUAAAAGUUUUGUUUACUUAAACAGUUGCAAGAAUAUUUAAAUCUACUGCACAUUUAAAAACCCAGAUAGGUAGCCAGAUUGUACUACGCUAGUCAUGAAAGGCAACUGACAAAAAAGAAGAAACACGUGCAAUAAAUCUUUUCAUUGGUUUUGGGGGCUGGUGUUAUUGGGAGAGACAGAGGGACAUUUCCACAGGGGUUCCGAUGGCAGUGCUAUCUGUUUAAGGCUUUGCAUGUUGAUGACACAAGUUCCUUUGAGGACAAGUUUCUUUCGAGAUGUUGAUAUGUCUCGGUGGGUGCCUGGAACCUUCCUCUCCUGGCAGCCUCUUGCUGAUUGUGCCACACCAGAUGCCCCGAGUUAAAUGAUGGGCUAUGUCGAGACCAAAUAGCGAAGCCCAGUGCAGAUCCAUCAACUCCACGUUUAGCACAACACUUAGUAGGAGAAAUUCAACUUUAAGCCUGAAAUGCAGGUCACAAAGUUGGUCAAGAGGACGAGAAGCAAAGCGGGCAAGCGGAAUUGAGGGCAGGGUCUCCCGAGGGGAGUCUGUGCAGUGCUGGCCUUUCCACGCUUUGCAACAGAAGGGCUCUGUUCCGGAAGCACCUUCUGUGCGGCCGCUCCUCGGCAAUUUGCAUGGGACACUAGCGGGUUGAAAGUUCUGAAACGUCCUGUGUGGAAGAAACAAACCUGUGCGCUCUGCUUCAGGCAGUGUUUCCCCAACCACUGAACUUUGUGGGUUUUUUUUUUUUUUUUUGAGUAGCAGCUAUUUGUAUCCACAUUCUAGAAACGCUUGCUUAAAUGUUACAUUGUCUCAUGUUCCUGGAUACACUUAGCCCUUCCACAGGAGGGACAAGGGCCGUGUGCGCAUGUUCACCAGCAUGUAUGUGGUCAGGCUGGUCCACUCACGGGAGCAACGAUGGGAGGGACAAGAAAUUCGGCAUGGUCCGGAUUGCCUUCUUGGGAGUGGUGCUGCUCAGGCUGUUUCAGAGUUCCCGCUGGCCUUCCUGCGCUCCGCUUGCCUCACCCCUGCGUACCUGCCGUAGCCAGCAUGUGUGCGCGGUGCAGGUGGAGAGAGAGAAGACGAAGUCCGAGAGGCCCCCAGGCUCUCUCAGACAUGGGGAGACAGACACACAGCAAGAAGUUUGAGGACAAUGUGACACGUGAAAUAAAGGCGUGUUGUGAGUAGUUUGGGGAUCACGAGAAGGAGGCCCCUCUCUUUGAAAGAACUGAGGCUAGUUUUGUCUGAAAGGGGAUAGAUGAAUUGUGUCUUAAAGGUUGAAUAGGAGGUUAUCAGGCAGAGACAAGAGUUGGGUUGGGGACACAUUCCGGGGGCAAUGAUCAGGGACAUGUUUUGGGGGCAUAAGAUUCUGAUUCCAACUCCAACAUGCUUUCAACACCAAGCAAGUCCCCCACACCAGCAGGGGGUCCUACAAUUCAACUCAGUUCUGACACUGUCCACUUGGAGAGAGCGUCAGAUUCCAGAGGUUAAGGGUUCAGUCCCACAAGAUCGCCCUUCUCUGCAGUCGCCAACCGCAAGUCCGGGUUGUCACCUGUGCUUCUGAGCCACCGGCUAUAAAUCAGUGGUUCCUGCAACCCCCCUUUGAGUUUGAUUAAUUUGCUAGAGCGGCUCACAGAACUCCAAGAAACAAUUUACUUACCAGACGAGAGCCAGCUGGAAAAGCUGCCCGGGGCAAGGUGGGGAAGGGGCGGAGCUCCCACGCCCUCUCCAGCCUCGCCACUCUCCUGGGAUCUCCACGUGCUCACCAGCUGGAAGCUCUCUGAACCCCUCAGUUUUUGGGUUUUUACGGAGGCUUCCUUACUUAGCCGUGGCUGAUUAAAUCAUUGGCCACUGGUGAUGGGUUCAGCCCCCAGCCCUUCUCCCCUCCCCACAAGUCUGGGGGUGGGACAGAAAGUGCCAACCCUCCAAUCACAUGGCUGGUUCCCCUGGCAGCCAGCCCCCUCCAUGGUGCUUUCCAAAAGUCACGGCAUAAAUGUAAACUCAGGUGUGGGUGAAAGGGCUUUGUCGUGAAUAUCAAGACAGCUUUAUAGCUCUUAUCACUUGGGAAACCCCAAGGGUUUUAGGAGCUCUGUGCCAGAGACAGGACGAAGACUAAAUACAUGUUUCUUUUUACAAAUCACAGUAUCACAGGGAGUCUGAUCUGAAGGGCUUCCAUCCUGGGCUGACGGACACGGAAAGUGAGUGCUGACAGUCUGCUCUGCGCUUUCCCAGAGAGAGUCCCCAGGAGCAAUAUGUAAUCAUCUAAUUAAAACAUCAAUUCUCAGCUGGAGAGAAGGAUGGAAAGAGGACAGGGGGAUGAUAAAGCAAGCACAGUCACGUGUCCACACAGACUCUCGGGGCGCACACAGGUGGUCACUGGAGAAAGCCUUUCAGCUUUGCCGUGUGUUUGAAAAUCCUUAUAGAUAAAUAUUUGGGAGAAUAAACUCUUAAUUUGAAUUUAUUAUUUCCUUCUUUCUUUUGCAAUGCCCAGUUUUUCCUAAGCCUCUCUUUGAUUAUUCAAGUUGCCAGCACCCGGGCAAUUACUUCCUGCAAACAAGUUGUCAGAAGGCGCAAAUAAAUUUUAGACCUAAUUUAAUUCUCAGUUUACUUGCUCAUGAAAAAAAAAAUCUUAAUUUCUCCAAACCACAUCAACCCUUGAUAUGCCAGUUAUGAUUUCUUUUCAAAAGCCGGCUGUGAAAUGCUAAGCCAAUCACUCAGAGACGGUCUGACUGAAUGAAUGACGGCUGGGGAAAGAAGGCCAUGUUCAGAGCAUCCGGGAUGAACGGUGGGUCCCAAGCACAGAUCAAGGGGAGCCAGAGAGGGUGUGUGGGGAUAAAGGGAGAGCAGUGACGGUCAGAAGCCAGCUACUCCAGAAAGGAAGGAGAAAGUGGGCCCUGGUUAUGGUGGGGUUGAGAUAUGGGGUGCCCGGGAAAUGUGGCCAAGGACCCUGACACUCUAACCGCUUUCUGAAAUGUGAAGAUCUCUAAGGAAACCAGCAGGCGGGAGUUGGAUCAAUGCAUUCCUGUGCUGUAGGUGGGCAAUACCUGGAAACAUUACCAAUGCCUCCAAGACUCCCACCAGCAUCGUGUGUGGGGGGACCCACCAGAAGGGAGGCUCCCAGCUCACAUCCCUCACUGCUCCCUGAGAACCACCCACCAGCCUGAUUGGGCCAGGGGCAGACACCUGUCAUGCUGGGCCAGUUCGAGCCUCUCUCUGUACCUAACAUCUGGAUUGGCUGGAGAAACUGAGGCACAGUGUCGUGAGUUGAACUGUGUGCCCCUAGAAGUUACAAAUACACCCCGGUAUUUGUGAAUGUGACCAUACUGGGAAAUAGGGUCUUUGCGGAUAUAAUGAGUUAAGAUCAGGUCAUAGUGGACCAGGGUGGGCCCUAACUCAGUGACUGGUGUCCUUAUAAGAAGAGGUUAAUUUGGACACAGACACACGGAGAGGAGACUAUCGUGUCACGAGGCACAGACACACAGAGGGAGGAAGGCCCCUGAGGCAGGACUGGAGCGAUGUGCCUACAAGCCAAGGAGCCCCCAGGACCGCUGGCACCACCAGAAGCUGGAGGAGGCGAGGAAGUCUCCUCCCCUAGAGCCUUCAGAGGGAGCGUGGCCCUGCAGCGUUCUUAAUCUUCGAUGUUUAGCCUCUAGGAUUGUGGGAGAAGACACUUCUGUGUUGUUGAGACACCAGUCUGCAGGGCUUGGUUACGCAGCCCAAGGACAGGAAUUCACAGAGUGACAGUGGAAGCGCAGAGGGACCCAGCUCAGCCUCAAGUCUGACUGACAGUAUUAACAUCACUGAUAAAGAACAGAGAAGUCCUCAAGAGGAGGUCCAGUGGUAGGUGGGCAGACGUCAUUCAACUUUCAAUGACGGUGUCAAGGACCCAGGCUCCUUCUGUCUUUGUGUCUUUCCAGUCCACUGUUUCAGCCGCACGCUUGCCACCUCAAGGUCAAAGGAGGGCUCUCCAGCACUGUCCGAGUGCAAGCAAGACACAGGGAGAAGAGCAAGUGCUGGUGGCGUCUGUCCCUUUUACUAGGAAAGCAAAAGCUGUCCUCAGAGCCACUGGGCAGAUUUUCAGUGACUUCUCAUCAAUGAGCAUUGUGGCAAACGGCUACAUCCAGGAAGUGGAUGUGCGAGGAAAGCUGGAAAAGAGCACAUCUAGCAUUUCUGCCUCUACACUGGAGAUGCCUUAGUUCCUACCGCAGCCAUGACAAAUUCCCAUAAACCAGAGGGGCUUGAAACAGCAGCAGUGUAUUCUCUCACAGCUCUGGAGCCUGGAAGCCCCAAACCGAGUUGUCAGUGGGGUGGGUUCCUUUUUAGAGGCUCUGAGGGAGAAUUUCCUCCUUGCCUCUCUCCCAGCUUCUGGUGGUUGCCAGCAAUCCUUGGCUCCUAGACACACCCCUCCCAUCUCUGCCUCUGUCGUCACAUGGCCUUCUCCCCGUGCCUCUUCUUCAAAGGACUCCAGGCACUGGGUUAGGUCCCAGCAUAAUCCAUCUAGACCUCAUCUUUGCUUGAUCACAUCUGCAAAGACCCUAUUUCCAAAGAAGGUCACAUUCACAGGUGCUGGGGGUUAGGACUUCAACACAUCUUCUGCGGGGACACAACUCACCCUAUGACACAGGUGGACAGGGAGAGAGGGUUUGGGGAGGGGUGUUGGGUUGGUCCCCAGGUGUGAUGCUUGGAGAUAUUGUGUCAAGAUGAGGGAGAAAGCAAGAGAAGCAGGGAGCGGCCAGCCUGGAGUGCACGGGACAGAGUGGAGCCGAUACAGGAAGCGUGCCCAGAACCACCUGCCCCUGGACUGCUCAUUUUACGAGGUCACUAAGUAGCCUUACUGCUUAAGCUGUUUUUAGCCACUGCUUGCAGCUGAAGGUAUUCUAAUUCUUUUUAUGAUUGAAAUAAAAUGUUUGAUCAUAAGUACUUGAACUCAGUGCCUCGAUUUUGGGCUUAAAUGCUUUUCUUUCUACCAAUCAGAGGAAAAAAAAGCUCCUGCCUUAAUUAUUUCCUUCAGGAAGGAUGAAUUAAAAAAUAAAUGACUAACUUGUUCUUUUUCAAAACAGCAAACACAAUUUCUUUUUAAGUACAGGAAACUAUGUUUAAAACCCUCCAAAAGUUCUUUUAAAAUGUAAUUUUAGGGGUUGGCCCUGUGGCACAGAGGUUAAGUGUGCACAUUCCACUUCGGCAGCCUGGGGUUCGCAGGUUUGGAUCCCGGGUGUGGACAUGGCACCACUUGGCAAGCCAUGCUGUGGCAGGCGUCCCACAUAGAAAGUAGAGGAAGAUGGGCACGGAUGUUAGCUCAGGGCCAGUCUUCCUCAGCAAAAAGAGGAGGAUUGGCAGUAGAUGUUAGCUCAGGGCUAAUCUUCCUCCAAAAAAAAAAAAAAGAAUAAAAUGUAGUUUUACAGAUAUCUUUCUUGUUACUGACACAAGUUAAAUUAUAUUUCGAUACAUUUAUGUGUUACAGAAUUAUCACCUCACAGCUUAACCCUGCUGUGGGAAUAGAAAAAAACUGUGCCCAGAUUAAAAGAACACACUUUCCUGAAAAUAAAGAUAAAUGAACUAAUAAAUGACUAGUUUUUAAUAAAUAAUCUCCUUAUUGGAUAACUUAUCUUUCUGGUAAAAUAUUUACCGUGCUCUCUAACGCCUUUUAAAUCAACUGAAACACUGAGAAAGCUUUAAAUGAUUCGAUAUCCUUUUGCGGCUUAAGAGUUGAAAUGGUGUUUUAUUGAAGUACAUUUUAAUAAGAAGCAAAUUGAUUUGAAGUGAUUCAAGUUUCGCGCAGUGAGGGCUCUUCAGGCUGGGCUCCUUGGGCUGGAGGGUGAACCACCAUUUCACGGGGCCGCAAAGGUCACGCUCUGCCCCGUGCUAGGAUGUUCUGGGUAACUAGGAACCAAUUGCUUUUAAGCUACCUUAGGACUGGCCCAGGCCUGAGUGACUCAGCAUGACAACAUCUCCUGUGCUGCCUCAUUUCUCUGUGCAGUGUUUUCCUGGGUAGGAAAUAACAGACAAAAAUAAUCAACUGGGGAAUUAAUUGAAAACACGGAUCCACAGCCCCUGCCUCAUAUUUACUGGAUCAGGAUCCAUGAAGGAGGAUCUGGAAAUCUGCAUGUCAAUCAAUGUCCCGGGGGCUUCUGAUGUUUAGAGUCAUCUGACCCACAAAGCUAUUGGACAACCAGAGUUGACACCCAAGGCCCUGGUUCUCACAGGUGAGCGAGGGCAGAACCCCCUGGUGGUAAAACCCAGGCUGCCCCACCCACCCAAGCACCUCUGGUUGGGUGGAGCUGGGAGGGGCUGGGAACCUGCGUUUCUAACAAGUUCCCAGGUGCUGCUGGUGCUAUUGGCCCAGAGGGGUGGGAGUGGGGCCACAUUUUAAGAACCAUUGCCAUUAAGCCAUUAUCUCCUAGCCAAAAAAAAAUUUUCCUUGAUAUAAGUUUUGUUUUAAAUCCAAGGCAGAAAAAUUACCCAUUCUCAGACCAAAAUAUGGAAAACAAAUCUGAGUAGAAUGAAUAUCGUUAGAGCUUUAGUGAUUCUGGCCGAAUGCCAUUGCAAACCUUUCCCAACAAAGACCAAAUACAGGGUCAUCGAAAGAAGGUAUGAAAUCCCAGAGAACAGUUGUCAGUUCCCAACGAAGAAAACGCUUAACAUCUCGACGGCGUUACAUCCAGCAGAAAGCAGACAAAUUACCACACCAAUUUAGUUUCAAAGAAUCCUCACCCAGUCUAUUAUAUUACUUCAUACCAAAGAGAUUCCUCAAGUUCUGAAUUGGCCGGAUAGUGACUUGUUAAGGCAUUGCUAACGAAUCUUGUCCAUCAUGGUUCUCGAAUAUGGAUUAGCUUGGACGAACCCAAGACAUUUCUGGCAGAGCUCAUGGUGAGGAGAAAACGUUCUCAGUAAGUGACUCCAGAAAUCCCGGCCCACCUGCGCCAGAGGGGUCCUGCAGGGUCUGCUUUUCAUUACGGGGAAGGCGAAGUUGGGUCGCAGAUCACCGUUAAACCUUGUUCGGGUUUGAGGAAAUGAGCUUGACCCACUAAAAGACUCGUACCAUAUUUCCUUUAAUGAUGCUGGCAAAGUGUCUGUUUCAUCUAAUCAACCUCUCAGACGAAGGAUCUGAUAGAGGGUCUGGCCACAGUGACGAGGGCUCAGACCCCAGCAGUGACCUGCGGUAACGACAAACCUUUUUAAAAUUCUGGUAGCAAGACAGCGUGAUUUUGACAGCUGUUUUCAAAAGUUUCUUUCCCUUUAAGAUUCUUAAUUAUGGGCCCGAUGAACACAGGUUGUAACUGAGGAACAUCUGAGCCUGGCUCACAUUAGCCUGUCUGCCUAUCCAGGGGAAAGGCUGAUUUCUUUUUAAGACGUGGUUUGCAGCCUCUCCAGCUUUGCACUCUGUGUACCCAGCCAGUUCCAGACUUCUGCUCCAUGAAGAAUUUGGGCCCGUCCUUGGCUGCAAUAGGAUUUUGGAGCAGAAUCAGUCAAGUGGUCUUAUAUUUCCAGGAGAAUGCAUCAUUAAAAGAAACAACCAUAUUAUUUAAAUUUCCAGAAAUGACUCUUCUGAUGAUAAUCCAUAGCCCACCAAAAUUAACUGGGUUUUCUUCUGCAUAACAGGCCUUUAGUUUUAACGUAUUUAAUAUUUAAAGUUUCUUUCUGGAAACGCUCACUGAGUUUUGAUGGCAACUUCGACAGGCCUGUAAAAGGUAAGAGGUAAUAAAACAUAGCAGUGGCUUAAGAAUGGAGUUUUUGAAGGCUGCUUAGAGGGCGAAGAAUUCCAGCUGGAGAACUUUCUGAUAAUGUCAACAACCUUCGAGUGUGUGGGGAAGUUAAUGAGACGAUGCAGGUGAUAGCACCUCGCCGGGCCCAGGCAAUCAGAAACGUCACGGACAUCUGAAGUUGAAUCUGGUUAACAAGACGUCACCUGUCAGGGCAUCAGAAACGUUUUCAUUCUAACAGUGGUGGCACCAUCCAGUCGUUGAAGCAAAAAUGACACAGGAGUUGAACUGAAAGCCAGAUAUCGUGUGCGGGUCUCGACUGCCCAAGUCGGGGGCCUCAGCUGGGCUGACGGAAGGUUGGCAGAAUCCUAAUUUCCUUGGCGGAUUCCGUCAUCUGAUGAGCAGCAGUAGACAGACCUUCUCAAACGCACUUCCCACUGGACUGCACGAGCGGGUGUGAAACAAACCCCGCCGUCCGGGUCCCCCUGCAGGGAUUUUGAUGCAGUGGCUCAGGGUGCUGCCUGAUCACGAGGGCUUUCAGACGUUCCCCAGACAUUAGGCUCCUAGGCGUGGGUUGAACCACGAAUGGGUUAAGCUGGGGUUUCUCCACCUCCUCCGCGCUAUUGGUAUUCGGGGCCAGGUAAUUCUUUGUUGGGGGGGGGGGUGUCCUGUGCAUUGUAGGAUGUUGAGCAGCAUCCCUGGUCUCGACCCACCAGAUGCCAUUAGCACCCCCACCCCACAGGUUGUGACGUCCAGAAGAUGAGGCUCACAGGGCUCAGCCUAUCUCGAGGGGCCUGUGGCCUUGCUGGGAAUUGUUCGGGGCUGGGGCGUUUAGGCACAGGGAGCGGAAGAGGAACACCUUCAGGAAACGUUUUCCUCAUGCUUAAAACAGAUGAAAGGAAAGGAGAAAGCUGUCCUUUCUGUGGGACACACCAAGAUGAACACGGCUGGAUCCUUGAUGGUUGUGCGGGUGUGGAGUUCACACUCCCAGCCGCCUCCCUUUGGACUCCCUGCUGUGGGAAACCGCACGGCCCCCUCUUGCUGAAGAUGGGGCUGUGCUUUCCAUCCCUGGCAGCUAAAUGCUUCUGAACUGCUCUAUCCUGGAUUCAGGCUGUUUUUAAUUACGAGGAAACAGUACUUGUCCCUCUUUGGAAGGCGGACAUUUUGCCACUGACCGAUAUGAAUGAUUGGUCAACAUAUGUCCACAAAGUAGGAGAUUAUAAAUACACAGCCAAGAUCAUCACCACGGAGCAGGGUAGCAUCUUUGUGACGCGCACGGAGUUUGCGUAAGUGGUACAUAAACAUGCUGUGGCCUUGCUCAAGGAGAGAGCAACAGAAUAUUACAUCUCACCAGCGGGGGCUAGGGGCCCACGGAAGCAGAUGGUCGGAAUCCAUCAGCUAUGAAUCGAAUCCUGGGCGGGUGUCUGAGGAACCUCCAGGCAGCUCUCGGUGAAAGCCUCGACGUGUGAGGGCAAAGCAUCAGGGUGGAUUCGUGCCUGACAGAGUCAACCUGACUUAGAGAAGCAAACUCCUCUCCUAUUUCCAAAGGGGUCUGUGGGGGCGACACAUCCAGUCACAAGCCCUCUGGUUUGUUUGGGGCCGUGACCCACGUCCCCUCACCACCACCUUCAUUCAUUGAAAGGAAUUUUAAACAGGCUGCGACUGAAAGCAGACUUAUCAGUAACAGGAGACUGUGAUUCGGGUGACGGCUGCAUGGGCACCUUUGUAAGACUUCUGCACUCAUCCUUUUUUUUUUUUGAAAAAAAAAAGUGAGCUGACAAGAAGGUAGGCAAAUAGGUCACUGCCGGAGGGGCUGGAGUCCCCCAAGGUGAGUCUCAAGGGAUCAUUUUUGUGAGAGACACGAUGGGGGUGUGAGCAGGGAAGCGAACAGGAAAACGAGUGGCUGGAAUUGCCUGUGGUUCUGUCGGGGCAAACAUCUGAGAAACUGAACUGGAUUUGUUUCCACAGUCGUUCUCAAAUAACUUACCCAGGGAAAAAAGAGAAAGACUAGUCCAGGAGCACAUUUUCUACCAGCCCUGCCCGAAAGAUUUUAAUUCUGAAUAAAAUCCACAUCAACAAUGUUUAUUUAAUUUAGGUCAUGUUUAAUUAAAAACGCAAAAUCAGCCUUUUGAAACUAAAUUUCUAGAUCCACCGAGGUCGAGGGUUGAUGAUUCCCAGAGGGCCUGGACAGGAGGAUUCAGAAAUCUGAGCUCUCAGAAAGGCGGGACGGAGUGUGAGCGCUGCAGUGGGACAACUGGGGGCAGACGCCCAGGCUUGGCUUCCAGCUGUGUGACCUCCGGUGACUAUCGCCCACCCUUGGGUUCCUUCUGUUCACACUGGGAUGGAUCAGAUAAAAACCUAACUCAGGGCUGUCGUGAGGAUAAGUCAAUAUACACAAAACGCUUAGCCCAGCACAGUGGUUUCCAAUAAACGCUUUCACAGGUGCUGGCCAUGACUGUUAACUGCGGCCAGUUAAUCUUCAGGGUUAGCUCAGACAACACAUUGUGCAAAUGCCUCUAUUUUAAACUAAUUAAAAACACAUAAACUACCGAAUACAAAAAAAGAGGAACAUAAUUAUCUCUAUAGGAAACCUUCAACGUACAGACUGUCCAAACUGUUGAUUUCAAGUUGAUUGUUUGGAGGACUCUGUUCCCAUGGCAACAGUACUCCAAGUGCUCUCAGCAGUCCAACAACUCACAAAGGCACCUUCACCUUUAGGUACCGGAAAUACCGUGUGCUGGUUCUGAUAAGGUCAACCGUGGUAGUCCUUGACUAGAAAUGAAACCACAGAAAAACAAAAUUGCUAAGCAAAUAAGAUUAAAAUCCUUUCAAGUCCUGCGGCCCAAAGGAAAGGAGAAUGGACUAGAGGCCGAACGAGGAAGCUGCCGGGCCUCUGGGCUUGGGGCUGCGCUUGGCACAAGCGCCUCCACACAGGUUGUAUUGACAGGCCUCAGAAGGAUCUUUAUUGGUCUUUAGAUGAAUGAAAAAUAGCUGGAGACUAAAAGAGGCAGACAGGUUUUCCUGCUCAAAAAGAUGAGGCCUGGAAGUGGAGAGAGGCAAGGCGGCCCCGUGCAAACACAGGCCGUGGGCAGGUCUUCGAGGAGCGGGUCUCAGGGAGCAGAGGCUCCAGGACAAGGAGGGCGAGUGCGACCCAGGGCAGCAUGGGGGGCAGUAGCUUCUCUUUGGUGGGCCCAGGUGGUGCCCAAAAGGCUGAGACUGGCCCGAGGCUGUGGCAGUGGGAGGCCCCCACGGAACCCAGCGAGCGUCCACGCUGCUCACCCACAAACCGAGGGCCUCACCAGGGUCCUAAAGCCCGUUUCACACGAGGCCCUGCCUGCAGGUUUGAAGGAGGGGUCAAGUGGGUCCGUGGCAACAAGGGCCUUAAUAAAUUGAACGCAAAGCUGUUUAUUGGAUUCCUUUACCGGUAUCUCCCCGUGGGUAUUUUACACCACACUAGUUCAAUGAAAUGUUAAUUAGGUCCUAAGUAUAAAAAAAGAUUCUUGGUCAAAUAACUAGGAAACUGGCAGGUGAGAAAGUUAAAUCACAUUUCCCCACUCCGGGACCUGGCCCUUUAAUAUGCUAAUUUGCAUCGUGAAUUUCCAUGAAGUCAGUCUAGUGCUCAGCAACUUUUCUAAACCCAAGUGACCACCAACCCUCCUUUCUCGAGCUUCUGCAGGGACAAGUGUUCUGGGGAACAUUCUUGGCGGUUUGCUCCCGGACACGGACACGUAAGACAGCAGCUCUCCUUCGCUCUGGGUCAGGGCAAACCCCGCAGUCACCGGCGCCUGUCACCGGCCCCUCUUCUCCAAACAGGCCUCCACACACGCCUCC
rnacentral:lncRNA from 1 species